ACCCUGAGCCCCGAGGCGGCGGCGGCGGCGGUCGCCAUGCGGAAGUCGUGCCGGGUUCAACGCUGCUGCAGCGCCGCCGGGCAGCCCCGGGGCUCCGAGCGCCGCUUCAGCUUCUCCGAAAACUGACAGUUCCCGCCAAAAAAAGCCCCCCUACAGCCACCAGAUGAUGCGGGGACAACCGCCGGUGACUCCGGGACACCGCUCUGUCACCAUCACUCGGGUGAUACUGCUCUCUGUGCUCUGACCACCACGUGGGCACAGGCACAGCCAGCCCCACAUUGUCACCGUGCUAUCGCUAAGCUGCCGACUGUCUUUUGUCACCCCCCAGGCCUGCCUCCAGCCGGACCUGGUAACACUGGAGCUCUCUGGCGCUGUCACCAUUAUGUGCCACAAGGAUGGGGACGUGGUGGUGUACUCUGCUGCCACCAGAGGGGACCGUGUGUGACAUCAGUGCGGAACAGCUGUCAUCGCUGUUGGGUGUUGCUUUUGUCAACAUGCAUGGGGUGUCACCGCUGGGGACACCUCUGUGUCACCCCUACGGUGUCGCACCCCAAAGUUGGAGGCACCCCUCUGCAGAUCCCCUGGUGUCCCUCCUUCUGACCGCAUUGUUCCCAUGCGGGGGUGGGUAGAGUUGAGGGGCACACACUUUAUUUUGUAAAUAAGAUUUAUUUUGUGAUAACGGUGGACUGGGAGGCGCCGCCCCCCCAGACCUCUGCAUGAAUAAAAGGCAGAGGAGCGGCUGUGGGGCUCUGCAUGUCAGACCGGGGGGCACUCUGGGGACAGGUGACUGCAGCAUCCCAGCCCCAUAGCCCCUAUGACCCCAUCACCACCACAGUCCCAUCUCAUUGCCAUCCCAUAACCCAUAUCCAUAUGCUACAACCUUAUCCCAUCCCAUAUCCCAUCGUGUAUUCAUAGCCCAUCCUAUAUCCAUACCCUCAUAUCCAUCCCAUAACCAUAUUCCAAAUCCAUCCCAUAUCUGUAUCCUCAUAUCUCAUCCUAUAUCCAUAUCCCAUCCCAUAUCCCAUCCCCAGUCCAUCCCACCCCUUAUCCAUACCCCCAAGUCCCACAUCCUAUCCCCAUCUCAUUCCCCACAUCCUAUAUCCGUAUCAUCCCACAUCCAUCCCAAACUCACGUCCCCACAUCCCAUCCCAAAUCCAUCUCAUCCCAAAUCCAUCUCGUGUCCACAUCCCAUAUCUUUAUCAAUAUCCCAUGCCCAUAUAUAUCUCAUUUUGCCAUAUCCCAUCCCGUAUCCAAAUCCCCACACGCUCUCCAUGCAUUCUUCCCCCUCUCCCAGGUGGAGCUCAUUACAUUCCAGCUGCUCUCUCACAUAAAGGGCAGCUCCUCCACCUCGCUUCCCCAGCCUGUCUUUCCUAGAAGCACACAGCCCUCCAUGGCUGCACUGCAGUCACACGAGCUUUCCCACCACGUCUGCGUGACUGCAAUGAGAUCGUGGCCCUGUGACCACACACAGAUCUCCAGCUCACCCUGCUUAUGUCCCAUGCUGUGCGCGUUGGUAUACAGGCACUUUAGGGAAGCCGCAGGUGCAGCUGCCCCUCUAGGGACACGAGAAGGUUUUGGACGGGGUAUCUGCAACGUGACCUUCU